rnacentral:misc_RNA from 1 species
UGGCUCUCGCAUCGAUGAAGAACGCAGCGAAAUGCGAUAAGUAAUGUGAAUUGCAGAAUUCAGUGAAUCAUCGAAUCUUUGAACGCACCUUGCGCUCCCUGGCAUUCCAGGGAGCAUGCCUGUUUGAGUGUCACGUAACCAUCUCUCCCUUGUGAUUUUCUUGAUUGCAAGGAAGAGGACUUGGACUGUGCCGUUGUUGGCUUGUCCCGAAAUGCAUUAGCCUGGUCUGAGCAUGGCCCUCCGGUGUGAUAUACUAUCUACGCCUCUGGUGCAUGUUUACCGGCUUCUAAAUAGCCCCUCCCCGGGCACUUCUAAUGCUCUGGCCUCAAAUCAGGUAGGACUACCCGCUGA